AGGUCACUAAGCCCUAUAUAGAUGAUGAUGGUCACUGAACUCCCACACUGAAAGUGCUUCUCUGUCUUCAUUGCUAAAAAGAUGGUUUCAACUUCUCCUCCUCCAAAGCAGCAGGAAGCUCUUUCAGACAACAAAUGGAAGGAGGAGGCAGACAACACACGCCGCGCCAAAUGGUGGUACUCCACCUUCCACACCGUCACCGCCAUGAUAGGUGCCGGUGUCCUCAGCCUACCAUAUGCCAUGGCCUACUUAGGAUGGGGUCCGGGGACAAUGGUACUGGCAGUUUCUUGGUGCAUGACCUUGAACACAAUGUGGCAGAUGAUACAACUCCAUGAAUGUGUUCCAGGGGUUCGCCUUGAUCGGUACAUAGACCUCGGUCGACAUGCCUUCGGUCCUAAACUCGGGCCAUGGAUCGUGCUUCCACAGCAGCUAAUCGUCCAAAUUGGGUGUGACAUAGUGUACAUGGUCACUGGGGGAAAGUGUCUGAAGCAGUUCAUGGAGAUGGCGUGCUCUAGUUGCACACCAAUCAAGCAAUCCUACUGGAUUUUGAUGUUUGGUUCCAUUCAUUUCUUCCUUUCCCAGCUUCCCAACUUCAACUCUGUCGCUGGUGUUUCGCUAGCAGCAGCUAUCAUGUCACUAAGUUAUUCCACAAUAGCUUGGGCAGGUUGCUUAAGUAAAGGCCCGGUAGAUAAUGUUAGCUAUGCAUACAAGAAAACAAGCUCAGUUGAUUACAUGUUCCGGGUGUUCAAUUCACUUGGUCAAAUCUCGUUUGCAUUUGCCGGACAUGCUGUGGCUCUUGAAAUUCAGGCAACAAUGCCAUCAACUCCGGAGAGGCCUUCACGAAUACCGAUGUGGAAAGGUGCCGUUGGAGCCUAUAUUAUUAAUGCAAUUUGCUAUUUCCCGGUGGCCCUGAUCGGUUACUGGGCUUUUGGGCAAGAUGUUGCUGAUAAUGUCCUAGUGGACCUCAAGAGACCUGCUUGGCUAAGUGCAUCUGCAAAUUUAAUGGUUGUUGUCCAUGUUAUUGGCAGCUAUCAGGUUUUUGCUAUGCCGGUUUUUGACUUGUUAGAGAGGAUGAUGAUGAAAAAACUGAACUUCCCACCUGGAGUGGCACUUAGACUAGUUGCUAGAUCAGCUUAUGUUGCAUUCACAUUGUUUGUUGGAGUCACCUUCCCUUUCUUUGGAGACCUUCUUGGUUUCUUCGGCGGGUUUGGUUUCGCCCCAACUUCAUACUUUCUUCCUAGUAUAAUGUGGCUAGCUAUCAAGAAACCGAAGAGAUUCAGCACCAAUUGGUUCGUCAACUGGGCUUCCAUAUUUGUUGGAGUGUUCAUUAUGUUAGCAUCCACCAUUGGUGGUUCAGGAACAUCGUCACUGACGCAUCCACAUAUCGUUUCUACACUUAAAUUAUAACCAAAUUAUGUCAUUGAUUGGACCAAAGUACCAAACUCAUAUACUAUCAAACUAGUACUUGGUUAUACCAAAAUACCAAGGACUUGGUUAUUUGAUGCUGCCACUUGAAUUGUGUGGAUCCUGUCUACACCAAUCUACCAAGUAGUUCUUCUGCAUUUUCAGUUUGUAUCAUGUUCCUUUGCUGGAGCAAAAGCAGUGAAAGGAGUAUUUUAAUUAGCUUUUUUAUUUUUGAGUUGAAAAUGUCGUCUAAUAUGAAAUUCAAUAAGCAGUGCAAUGAUAGCAUGUAUGUUAAGACCGUC